GACGUAGGAUGCAAGCGUUGUCCGGAUUUAUUGGGCGUAAAGAGUUCGUAGGUGGUUCGUUAAGUCUGAUGUUAAAGACCGAGGCUCAACUUCGGGACUGCAUUGGAUACUGGCGGACUUGAGUGUGGUAGAGGCAAUCGGAAUUCCAGGUGUAGCGGUGAAUGCGUAGAUAUCUGGAAGAACACCGGUGGCGCAAGCGGAUUGCUGGGCCAUAACUGACACUGAGGAACGAAAGCUAGGGAGCGAAUGGG
rnacentral:rRNA from 1 species